GACGAACGCUGGCGGCGUGCUUAACACAUGCAAGUCGAACGGAAAGGCCCUGCUUUUGUGGGGUGCUCGAGUGGCGAACGGGUGAGUAACACGUGAGUAACCUGCCCUUGACUUUGGGAUAACUUCAGGAAACUGGGGCUAAUACCGGAUAGGAGCUCCUGCUGCAUGGUGGGGGUUGGAAAGUUUCGGCGGUUGGGGAUGGACUCGCGGCUUAUCAGCUUGUUGGUGGGGUAGUGGCUUACCAAGGCUUUGACGGGUAGCCGGCCUGAGAGGGUGACCGGCCACAUUGGGACUGAGAUACGGCCCAGACUCCUACGGGAGGCAGCAGUGGGGAAUAUUGCACAAUGGGCGGAAGCCUGAUGCAGCAACGCCGCGUGCGGGAUGACGGCCUUCGGGUUGUAAACCGCUUUCGCCUGUGACGAAGCGUGAGUGACGGUAAUGGGUAAAGAAGCACCGGCUAGCUACGUGCCAGCAGCCGCGGUGAUACGUAGGGUGCGAGCGUUGUCCGGAUUUAUUGGGCGUAAAGGGCUCGUAGGUGGUUGAUCGCGUCGGAAGUGUAAUCUUGGGGCUUAACCCUGAGCGUGCUUUCGAUACGGGUUGACUUGAGGAAGGUAGGGGAGAAUGGAAUUCCUGGUGGAGCGGUGGAAUGCGCAGAUAUCAGGAGGAACACCAGUGGCGAAGGCGGUUCUCUGGGCCUUUCCUGACGCUGAGGAGCGAAAGCGUGGGGAGCGAACAGGCUUAGAUACCCUGGUAGUCCGCGCUGUAAACGGUGGGUACUAGGUGUGGGGUCCAUUCCACGGGUUCCGUGCCGUAGCUAACGCUUUAAGUACCCCGCCUGGGGAGUACGGCCGCAAGGCUAAGACUCAAAGGAAUUGACGGGGCCCAGCACAAGCGGCGGAGCAUGCGGAUUAAUUCGAUGCAACGCGUAGAACCUUACCUGGGUUUGACAUGGAUCGGGAGCGCUCAGAGAUGGGUGUGCCUCUUUUGGGGUCGGUUCACAGGUGGUGCAUGGCUGUCGUCAGCUCGUGUCGUGAGAUGUUGGGUUAAGUCCCGCAACGAGCGCAACCCUUGUUCACUGUUGCCAGCACGUUAUGGUGGGGACUCAGUGGAGACCGCCGGGGUCAACUCGGAGGAAGGUGGGGAUGACGUCAAGUCAUCAUGCCCCUUAUGUCCAGGGCUUCACGCAUGCUACAAUGGCUGGUACAGAGAGUGGCGAGCCUGUGAGGGUGAGCGAAUCUCGGAAAGCCAGUCUCAGUUCGGAUUGGGGUCUGCAACUCGACCUCAUGAAGUCGGAGUCGCUAGUAAUCGCAGAUCAGCAACGCUGCGGUGAAUACGUUCCCGGGGGCU
rnacentral:rRNA from 1 species